CCUGGGGCACUGGAGCGCAUGCGCAAAUGGCUGAGAAUAGUGCGUAAAGUUUGCUUGAAGAAACGGCCGCCGGUAGGCUCGCCCGUCAUAUUCACGCUACCGUCACCCGUCUUAGUUCUACCUCUACAUUCUGUUCUGGCAGCGAUUGUCGAUGUUAGGCGCGGUGUCUACCACUUUACCGACCCUAAAACAGCCAUGGGUUGCGCGGCCAGCUUUUGCUUUAGGGCGUGCUUCGAAGCUUUGAGUCGUGGCUGCUCCAAUUAUGGCUUGAACUCCCGCAAGUGCGGUUACUGGACUCUUUUUUUGCUCCGGAAUUCUCGGACGGCCCAUCGGAGCUCCUGGAAUCAAUAUGUGGCGCCCGGCCGCCACUCCGUUCGUUCUUGCGCACGAGCUGUCACGCCUGACGCCAACGACUCCUUAGCUAUUGCUGCCGAAAAGUUUCAAGUCGUGCCUGCCUCGGUCUUUCCUUUUGUGCGCGUGUUCCCACGAACCAACUGACCGUGCCAUUGAACCGAGGGACAACGGAGCAACUGUCGUCGCCACAUGCUUCAACUAACUGAUGAGGUGCAGCUCGUGCAACCAAGUGACCAUGGCACUACCCUGAGGGACACCCAAGCAACGGUCGUCGCUUCUUGGCUUCGGCAGCUAACUCACUAGGUGGGAUCGACUGUGAACUGUGGUACACGAGCUUGUCAGGGUGGUGCGGCUAUUAACUACUUUGUUAACACUGAUUGGCCACAUUGACCUAUUAUGUGGAGUUAACUGCAGUAAAUUAGGCACCAGAUGCCUUGGACGGCCGCAGUCACAUCGGGUCGUCGCCGUGAAGGAAGCGGAGAGGACCGUGUGGGGCGAUUAUAGGUUUCUUAGCUGACACUGGGCAGGUUCAGCUGGUAGUGGUCCUCUCUCGCUUGUGACACGGCCGUCGGCCCAUUCCGAGUGCCAUUGCUUCCCGGCCACAAUUUCGCGCCAUCGCGCGCGUCCGGGCGCGAAAUGUGGAAUGGCGCAAGUAAAUGGCAUCCGGAAUUAGUGUCAGGUUAAUCAAUGACGUUUACCGCCCUAGGGUUAGUCUAGCGACACUGAAGAAUGGACGUCGCCUUCGGUCCGUAACGCGGCGCGUUGCGGCAAAAGUAGGUGGGCACUGUUUUUUUCUUGUCCAUUCUGUGUGCCCCGCUGUGUUUUUGUCGCUCGACACGCCGACCAUGUUGGACGCGUUCAUCGGCCACGGCCCGCGCGACCGACGCUUGCCAUGGUGAGUACCUACUUUCUGGUUAUAUUGGUUAUUUGAAAAGUCGGCCUCUUUUAGUUCCAGAUACCCAACCGAUAGGACUUUGGCUUCUUGAGCACUUGGGCAAUGCUCCUGCACCCGGCCCUAUCCCAGACGAAUUACGUUCAGUGCCUCGCGGCUGAUCGUGUCUGCACUUCUGCUCCAGCCUCACAGCUACAGGUUUCCGGGCGAAUGAAGAAACCUGCAUUACCUGCCCUGCCGUACGUUGACUGCGCGUAAUCUGGAACCCUUGUCGUCACAUCCACUUCACCUCAAGACCUGACCCCUCUGCGUAGUAGACAAGAGCUGACCGUUUUGAGGCAGGCUUUGCUCUCGCCACAGUCCAUCACAUUGCUUACACCCGACGACGUGGCGUUGCACAAAAGGCCCCUCUCUGCGUUCUCCAUGUUGCCUCUACGACGGUACAUAACUACGGAGUCAUGACGCGUACACCGACCUCGACAUCCCGGAAGCUGCAUCAUGGCCGCUCGAUGAAUGUUUGACGGGCGGACCAAACAAUUCCAGGGAACAUGCCGUGCUGGCUCAUCGCUGGUACACUGCUCAGGGUUUGUCGAGCAUAGGGUUGAUCUGGCGUUUCAUGCUCGUGCACGUUAAUUCACAUUCUGUGCUCUCGUAAUGGUACGCUGAUGCUGGUUCGCGUUGCGAAGUAGUGCGCGCGUAGAGAGUGUGUGAUGCUGCAUGUAUGUUGUCUGUCUAGUGUACGUGCGUGCUACUUCACUCAUUUCAUCUGGUAUUUGGCAUAACUUUCGCCGGCGUCUGUUCUCAAUUCUUCCACGAAAUUUUUGGUGGCUGCUCUCGUUUAAUCGGUGCAUUCUUUCAGAAAGCCCCUUGAUGGUUCCUCAGUGACAGUCGCGAAUAUUUUCGCAAAAUCUUCCAACUUUAGCACUGGGCAUUUCUCUGACUUGCAGGGUGUCCAGUCGUCCACCCGUGUAUUCGGCCAUGGCCCUUAGCUUCUUGUCAAAUUCUUUUCUACUUGAAGGGGUCUAUCUGUUGGUAUCAAUGCCUUAUCCACUUUGUUUGCGAAGUGAUUCAUCAUGGCUAAUGCGAAACAUCAGCGUACCAUUACAAACGACAUAUGGUGUGAAUUAAACAGCUACAUUGCCUUAUUCGCGUCACAAUUAUGAGAUUAUCCUUUGAGAUCUGGUGCUGAAAUGGCACCAUUAAUCAUGUUAGUGGUAGAGCAGCGUACCACUCCCCAGCGAAGCAAAGCAGGUCCUGGAUCUCCCUUCAGCACCGUUGCACGUUGAGCGGACAUCACCGCCACACGUGCCUGCGUUGUUCACCGUUCCUUUUGCCCUCCUUGAGUGAUCACUGCCCUGUGGAAAUUCACCUGCUUGCAUAAACUUAUUGUACGCUUCUAUAACAUGCACUUGUUGUACCAUGUUCACUGGGACUAAAUAAAAUUUUUUUCAUAUCACCGCCUUUCACCCCCCAUGUGAAAAAAACAUUGUAAGGUUGUAAAAGUAAUUCAGAUAUACAAAUGAUGCUUACAUGUUGGUUGUGUGGUUAGGGGUAGCAAUUGCCUGGCAAUGUGCCUAAACCCACC